AUGUAAGAGUACAUAGGCAUCGACUGGACUAACUGUCGCGCAUAAUCCAUCCGCCUCGCCAUGAGAAACUCUGGUUCCACCACAUCUGCCAUCAACUCGUAUCGUUCCAUCAUCUCCUAUGCACGAGCAUCAACCGGCUGGGGCAAGAAGUCAUCAACCUUGAUUGUCUUGAAAGAUCCAGGCAUGAAUGACGGAGGAGGUGGGGCAGACUCCGUUCGUCUCAGUACAGCUGCCUCGAUAAAUCUGAACGCGUUCUUCGGAUACUUCAACGUAAGUUGGGUCAGAACGUGCUUGUCGCUGAACCAAGAGAAAUGCCAGUGGUCGUUUAAAUCCGUCAACAAACUCAGCGGAUAGCAAUUGAGAGGCGCCUUCAUGCUGCAGCUCACAAGUUGACCAAUUGCUUGAGGAACAUGGCCCGGUUCGACUUUCUUCUUGAGCUCGAUCACCAAGCUGACCCCAGCCAGCUUAAUCAGUGACCCACGCUAGAGGAUGUCGAGUCGAUGAACACACCUGUUCACGUGCUGGUGGCGUUGCCUCCUGGGACAAGUAGUGCGCCUAUUUCUGAUGGGACGGACUUAUGGCUGUCGAGAUUUCAACAUAGUGAAGUUGCAAAACUUACGCUACUGCCGACACGCGGAGAUCUAAAUGAAUUUAUCGGACAACCUCUCCCUGUAAAGAUUGGGUUACCGCAGUCUGUGUUUCAAGCUUGGUCGAGUCCAUUGAUACUAGGCCAACUCCUUCGAGAUAAAUUGUUCGAGCUAAACGACAUUUCGCCGUGCGAAUUUUUAAAAGAUUCGGUGUUUAGCGCUGCGUUCCUGUACCCGCAGGUGGAUGGGGAUGCCACAGAGAGUGCAUUUCAUUAUUUCUGGGAUUCAAUUAUCCGUGUGGUGCUCGGGUUUGUGUUUAGGCGUGCUUACAUCAACCGGGAUUCGAGCAGGAAAUCCUCGUCAGGUUUGAAGCGACCCGACUUUUUGUUUGCUUUGGAUCAUAUCUGUGUUUUUCGUGGUGAGGAGAAAGAACCUCGUACUUCUAUCACUGUGCCUCGUGAGGAGCUCUCUAAAACGCUGGUGUGGUCCUACGGUGGAGUGCCGUAUGUGUUUGGCUAUGCUGCGUCGGGCUUCGAGCUAGAAUUAUUUGCUAUCUAUCAAGACGUCACGGGCAACGUUAAAACCCACCUUAUUGGAAGGGUUUAACUUUGCAGCAUGCGCCGGAACGGUUUUCGACUUGUACUGGCACUUUCUUGAAUUUGUGUCUGCUUUUUCCCGGCAAUUGUGCAAAACUUGUCCAGGCCUUCAGCAGGGACCGAAGUUCAUGGACAUCCAUUCGUGCCAAUGGCGGACAAGGGAGGGUUUGAGUCCGAUUUUCGGUCGAUAGAACUUUUCAUACUCCAAGAGAGAUAUCCGGCGCGUGAAGCAAAUUUACCGAAUUCUUUGGAAGCCUUUUGGGAGUUCAUAUGUCGCGAUGUAUGUUCUUCAGAGUGAUUACGAACCAUAUGAGGUUGACACUUAAACCCCUCUGAGAUUUUAAAUUAAANNNNNNNNNNNNNNNNNNNNNNNNNNNNNNNNNNNNNNNNNNNNNNNNNNNNNNNNNNNNNNNNNNNNNNNNNNNNNNNNNNNNNNNNNNNNNNNNNNNNAGCAAGAUGGACCCAUGUCUCUACUUUCGUCACUACAAUAGCAAGCUGACCUUGCUGGGUCUCUAUGUGGACGAUGUGAUUAUCGUCAGUGAAGUUGAUGCUGAUAGUGACUGGGUAAUGCGACAACUCGGCAUCAAGUUAAUCCAACCCAGUACGAGAGGAACCGUUGGUUCAGAUAAUUGGUAACUGCGGUUAGCUGAAAAGCUAGUGCCGCCAAGCUACCAUCUGUAGGAUUAUGGCUGAACGCCUCUAAGUCAGAAUCCAUGCUGGAAUAGACGAUAAUCACCUUUCCCGAUGUGCCGCGAAUAGCGAUAGGUGUCUUCUGGACACCCAACAUCAUACAAUUGCAACGCACUCCGCUGCCUGUCAAGUACGGGCGGUGGAGAGUAGGCUGAUUUGU
rnacentral:rRNA from 1 species